rnacentral:tRNA from 1 species
UCCUUGAUGGUCUAGUGGUCAGGAUUUGGCGCUCUCACCGCUGCGGCCCGGGUUCGAUUCCCGGUCAGGGAA